rnacentral:lncRNA from 1 species
CCUGCCUGACGAGAGCCCGGCGCUCCUGGUGACGCUCUAGCUGGUGACCUAGAGAUUUCCCUCAGGCUGUAACUUUUGCAAAUAGUGAAACUGCGAAAAACACCUUCGCCGCGCUUUUCCCCAAAGCUGAGCUUGGCAGGACAUCCACAGCAAACCCUAAUACCCACCCGGGGGAAAAAUUCAAUCCAGCUCUGCCCAUUGCUACUCUAGUCCGUUUCUCCCAGGCAGGCAAGCCUGGACGCCGUGGAGGUCUUUCUGGGCGGGCGGCAGACACAGGCCUAGAUCGGUGUGUCUGUCUGUCCUGCCUCACAGAGGGAACGAGCCCAGCCAAGGACCACCCCUGCCCAUCUUCACUGGGGAUGAGGACAGAGCCACGGGUCGGAGUUAGGAUUGACGAUGAUAUACAUUUAAAUAAUGAGGAAAUGUCUACAACAGAAAUGGAGACGGUGGACUUGGUCCAGUGGUUAGGGUGUCCGUCUACCACAUGGGAGGUCCACGGUUCAAACCCCGGGCUUCCUUGACCUGUGUGGAGCUGGCCAUGCGCAGUGCUGAUGCGCGCAAGGAGUGCCGUGCCACGCAGGGGUGUCCCCCGCAUAGGGGAGCCCCACGCGCAAGGAGUGCACCUGUAAGGAGAACCACCAAGCAUGAAGGCAAGUUCAGCCGGCCCAGGAAUGGUGCCGCACACUCGGAGAGCUGACAAAACAGAUGACACAACAAAAAGAAACACAGAUUCCCGUGCUGCUGACAGCAACAGAAACGGACAAAUACGCUGCAAAUAGACACAGAGAACAGACAGCAGGGGUGGGGGGGGGGGAGGAGAGAGAAAUAAAUAAAUAAAUAAAUCUUGAAGGAAAAAAAAACAGAAAUGGAAAUAUUUUGCCCUCUUUGCUUUUAUGUUUUUAGGGACAUUUUCUUAGCAAUGAGCUAAGGCAUAGACCUCUUCUCCAUGAGACUUCAGCUACAGUUUGUCCUUGCUGGGGCUGUUGUCACUGUUUAGUUCUUAGCUCUAUGGCUUUAAAAGAAUUCUUUUCCGGCUCCUUUCUACUCAGGUCCCUUUAUACAUGUUUUUGCCCCUCUUUUCAAAGGGUACCUAGUGAGCUGCUAAGCAUUGCCUACUGUCUUCUUCCUUCCCUCAGUUAUUGACCCAUACAUGGCUCAUUAGCUAGGAUUACUUCAUCCACCCAUGUUCCACAGUCCCGUUUUUAUAUAUUACAAGGGAACCUAAAAAAAAAAAAAAGUAACAGAACUAUAUUACUAGAUAUUACUAGGCUUCUGGUCCAAGUACUUUAUACCAGGUCUAACCCCUGCCCACCCUCCCUACCCC